rnacentral:rRNA from 1 species
UACAGAGGGUGCGAGCGUUAAUCGGAAUUACUGGGCGUAAAGCGUGCGUAGACGGUUGCGUAAGUCAGAUGUGAAAGCCCCGGGCUCAACCUGGGAAUUGCAUUUGAGACUGCGUAGCUAGGGUGCGGAAGAGGGAAGCGGAAUUUCCGGUGUAGCGGUGAAAUGCGUAGAUAUCGGAAGGAACACCAGUGGCGAAAGCGGCUCCUGGUCCAGCACCGACGUCAGGCACGAAAGCGUGGGGAGCAAACAGG